rnacentral:rRNA from 1 species
AGAGUUUGAUCCUGGCUCAGGAUGAACGCUGGCGGCGUGCUUAACACAUGCAAGUCGAGCGAAGCACUUUUUUAGAACUCUUCGGAGGGAAGAGAGGGUGACUUAGCGGCGGACGGGUGAGUAACGCGUGGGCAACCUGCCUUACACAGGGGGAUAACAAUUAGAAAUGAUUGCUAAUACCGCAUAAGACCCCAGUACCGCAUGGUACAGAGGUAAAAACUGAGGUGGUGUAAGAUGGGCCCGCGUCUGAUUAGGUAGUUGGUGGGGUAGAAGCCUACCAAGCCGACGAUCAGUAGCCGACCUGAGAGGGCGACCGGCCACAUUGGGACUGAGACACGGCCCAAACUCCUACGGGAGGCAGCAGUGGGGAAUAUUGCACAAUGGGGGAAACCCUGAUGCAGCGACGCCGCGUGAGUGAGGAAGUAUUUCGGUAUGUAAAGCUCUAUCAGCAGGGAAGAAAAUGACGGUACCUGACUAAGAAGCCCCGGCUAACUACGUGCCAGCAGCCGCGGUAAUACGUAGGGGGCAAGCGUUAUCCGGAUUUACUGGGUGUAAAGGGAGCGUAGACGGAUAAGCAAGUCUGAUGUGAAAAUCCGGGGCCCAACCCCGGAAUUGCAUUGGAAACUGCAUAUCUA